UAUAGCUAACCGUGUUAAAAUUUGAUACAAAAUUAUUGUUCUUGAUUCUUGACUGUAAACUGAGUAUAUGAUACAAAUUUUAAGAACAGUUUGUUGUUGAAGUUGUGAACUCAUUGCUGCAAAAAGCGAUAGCAGAAAAAUGGCUGACAGUGUUGUUUCUUUGCUCCUGGAGACUCUGAACCAGCUGCUAGACCAAGAUGCUGAUCUGCUUCUUGAAGUGGAGGAUGGGCUAAGAUCAUUCCAUGCGGAGCUUGGAUUGGCAAGUGGCUUUAUUAGAAACUCUGUGGGUCAAGGGAAUGCACGAGAGGUGGAAGUAAUGGCAAAGCGAAUCAGCGAGGUUGCUAAUGGGGUUGAGGAUGACAUCGACAAGUUGGCGGUCAGGAUCGCAAAGCAAAGGAUGAGAGGCGAGUUCAGGAAGUGCAUUUAUGGCUUUGACCACAGGAACAAGCUUGGAGAUGUCUCCAAAAUUAUUAACAGCAGCACGAAGGAGGUCAAACAGAUUUACAGUGAAAGAGGAAGCAGCGCCCAAGCUAGCAGCAAUUCAUUUUUAACAAUUGACAGGAAGAUCGAGGAAAUUAAUCUCCCAUGCUUUCCUGAAAAAAAUGGAUAUCUUGUUGAAGCAGCUAUUAAACGAGGAGCAGGGUCGUGAGGUUAUUUCAAUUGUUGGAGAUGCUGGCAUCGGUAAGACUUUCCUUGCCAAGAAAAUCUACAACAACAUUUCUGUUCAGGGUCAAUUCAAAUACCGUGCAUGGGUCCAUGUAUCUCGGUAUCGGAAAGCUGGAGAGUUGUUGCUUGGAAUUUUAGAGUCUCUUGAUCAGCCGAUCACUACUGGAAAGAGGCAAGAUAUGACAGUGGAAAAGCUCCAAGAAAAGCUAUCCGAGUGCUUAGCAAAUAACCGGUAUCUAAUUGUCCUUGAUGAUCUACGGAAUAUGGAAGGAGGAUGGGAAGAGAUCAUAGAACAAGCCUUUCAUGUUGAUACAAAUGGACGUAAAAUCUUGUUCACUUGUCGGCCUGAGCCUGAAAAUUCGCUUGGAAGUUUAUCCAUCUCCCAUUCCUAUUCGCUUGAGCGGCUUGAUAAGGCAGGGAGGUGGAAAGUCCUACGUGAGAGAGUGUUCAGGGCAGAAGCCAGUAAAGCAGAUUUGGAAUUAUUGGGAGAACAGAUGGCAGAAAAAUGCGAGGGGCUACCACUCUCGCUAGCGAUUUUAGGCCGAUUGUUGGAGAUGCAGGGGGAAAGUGUUGAAGCCUGGUCCAGAUUAGCUAGUUGUUUUGGUGUAUCCUCUGGUGAAGGAAGCAAUAAUAACAAUGACGGUCAAGAGCAUCAUGGCUCAGACAUAUUGCCUAGUUCCCCCAUGGAGGAGAAUUUGGGUUGCAAUACUCAUCACCCAGAGCACAGUAUACAUCUGCACCUGCUUCUAAGCUUUGUUUAUGAACAUUUACCCGAUCACUUGAGCCUCUGCCUACUCUAUUUUGGUAUGUUCCCAGAAGGGGCUGAAAUCCCAACAAAGCAACUAAUCCAAUUGUGGAUGGCUGAAGGAUUUAUUCGGCAAAAGGGUAGUAGAAGAAUGGAGGACAUUGGACUACAGUACUUGGGGGAGCUUAUUGGUCUCAACUUGAUCCAGGCGACUGCAAGGAGGAGUACCAAUGGUGGAGUGAAGACGUGCCAAAUCCAUGAUCUUAUCUUGAAGUUUUGCAUUUCCAAGGGUAGAGAAAUGAAGUUUCUUGAAGUCCCAGAUAAUUCAAGUGAUGCUCCUGAAAAGACUGGGGAAAAGACUCGAAGAGUAACCAUUCAUGGUACUUUUUCUUCGCCGAAGGAUGUUUUCUCUAAACUCCACAACUGUAAAGGUGUCCGUUCUUUCCAUUUUUCUGUCCCAGGUGAUAAUGUUAGGCUUCCUACAUUUAAGUGGAAUUCACUUUACGAAAGCUUCAAGUUGCUCAGGGUGUUGAACCUUGGGAUGGUAGAAGUCUCGGAAAUUCCCAAGGAAGUUGGGAGGCUAAUUCAUUUGAGGUACUUGAGGAUAAGAGCUCUGGGCAUCAGGCAUGUGCCUUCCUCUAUAUGCAAUCUCCUAAAUCUUCAGACACUGGACAUGAGAGAGUCUAGUUUGAGCAACUUGCCAGAUGGAAUUUGGAAGCUGCAGCAACUACGACAUCUCAACUUGUUUCAUCUCCGUAGCCUACCUGAGCAUUGGGGAACUGAUGAGAAAUCUCUUGAGAACCUCCAAACCUUGUCUUGCAUGCGUCCCCAAAAAGGAAUGAAGCACCUCAUGGUCAGGGCCAAGUUCCCUAAUAUUAACAAAUUAAAACUAGCUAGCCAAAACCCUGAUGAAACAGCUGAUUUCCUUGAAAGCCUUGACCAUCUAUACCACCUUCAAUCCCUCAAAAUUGAGUCACCUUCUAAACUUCCUGAUCCAAGUGCAUUUCCAUUGACACUCACAAAAAUAACUUUACAGGAUACAACUCUUGGGGACAGUUGCAUGAAAAGGCUAGAGAAGCUGCCUAAUCUUCGCAUACUCAAACUACGAAAAAAUUCUGUUUUUAUGAAGGAGAUUAAUUUCAAUGCAGGUGGGUUUCCUCAACUCCAAAUCCUCCAAAUGGUGGAACUGGAAAUAACUAAAUGGACACAAGGAGGAGAAGCAAUGGUGAAUCUUCGGCAUCUGGUGAUAAAAAAAUGUGUUCAAUUAACAGAUUUUCCAAAUAGCUUGUCUAGUCUGCGAAUACUAGAGGUGAUUUUGCCCACUGCAAAUCUAAGAAAGGCCCUUCAAGAUUAUAGGCGUAAGACUAAGAGUGGUCUUGAGAUGAUAAUUAAUCCUCCCCUGGACAUGUAUGAUGAAUCAACAAUGAUCAAUCCUCCCCAGGACGAGUCUAAUGCAUCAACAAAGAUCAAUCCGCCCCAGGACGUGUCUGAUGCAUCAACAAUGAUCAAUCCUCCCCAAAACGUGUCUGAUGCAUCAACAGCAAUCAAUCCUCCCCAGGAUGUGUCCGAUGCAUCAACAACAAUCAAUCCUCCCCAGGACGUGUCUAAUGCAUCAACUUAAUGAUGGCGUGCAUUCACAAUGCAUUUUAUAUUUACAUUCUUUUACAAUAAUGCCUAUUUAUAAGGCUCAAAUUCUCUCUCUCUCUCUCAUACACAGUUCGGAUCGAAAGAGUUUUCUUUAUAAGACAAGUAAUUGGGUAUUCCUUAUACAUAAAGGAAUAGAAUUUGAGCCUUAUAAAUAGGCAUUGUUGUAAAUAGUUUGAUACUUAGAGGAUCUGCCCAAAGUAUUUGUCUUGUGUAAAGAGUGGUGCGUUCGUGUUUUUGAGGUAGAAAGAUUCAUUUGUGAAUUUGUUUGUUAUGUGAGUAUGAGAGUUUGAGAGAUAUAUUGAGUGGUAUUUGAGCUCUGGGGUUGUGAGUUUGUAUUUGUGAGGUAUUUUGUUUAUACUUACGUGUGUGAGAUUUUUGUCAGUGUUUUGGUGUGUCUGAGUUUGGUUUGUAAA